UUGUAGAUCGGUUUGUUUAACAAUCUCUGAAUUUAUACAUAUCUGGAAAACUUGUGGACAGAAUUAUAGCGCCUCCCGCGAAAAGCACAAGGAAAUGCGAAUAGCGGGGGGUGGUGGGGCGGUCGAAAAUGGAAAACAUAUAAAAUUAACAUACACACAGAGGAGCAAGAACAACAACAAGAACGAUGCCGGCAGACGAUGAGCGAAUGCGACAGAACGAAUGGCGAAGAAAACGAAACGAAACGAAGACGAAGGCGAAAGGCGGCCGCAAACAUUUGAGGUUACGUUUUCAGCGAGAAGAAUGCGAGUGGUCCUUUCGUGCCCCCCCCCAAAAAGCCCCCUAAAAAGGAGAGACAAGUGCAGCAUGCGAAAAGGGAUAGAGAGAGAACGCGAAUGCUGGGCCCCUGGAAGCACGCACACACCCACACGCACAUAUUUAGGGGAGGGGGUGGGGGCUAUAUAAAAACAAACAUAAAGAUAAACCAUAAAAGAGAUGGCGGACAAAACAAAGGAGGUGCGGCCAAUAAGUAAUUACGAAUUAAAACCAUUUGAAUUGUUUAA